GACGAACGCUGGCGGCGUGCUUAACACAUGCAAGUCGAACGGUGAAGCGCCUUCCUUUUUGGUGGGUGUGGAUGAGUGGCGAACGGGUGAGUAACACGUGAGUAACCUGCCCCCUUCUUCUGGAUAACCGCAUGAAAGUGUGGCUAAUACGGGAUAUUCUGGGUCUGUCGCAUGAUGGGUCUGGGAAAGAUAUUGUUUCGGUGGGGGAUGGGCUCGCGGCCUAUCAGCUUGUUGGUGGGGUGAUGGCCUACCAAGGCGGUGAAGGGUGGCCGGCCUGGGAGGGUGGACGGUCACACUGGGGCUGAGACACGGCCCAGACUCCUACGGGAGGCAGCAGGGGGGAAUAUUGCACAAUGGGCGCAAGGCUGAUGCAGCGACGCCGCGUGAGGGAUGGAGGCCUUCGGGUUGUGAACCUCUUUCGCCAGUGAAGCAGGCCUGCCUCGUUUGUGGGUGGGUUGACGGUAGCUGGAUAAGAAGCGCCGGCUAACUACGUG
rnacentral:rRNA from 1 species